rnacentral:lncRNA from 1 species
CUAACCCUCGUUCCGGCAAAGAGAAUUGCCACUAGGGAAGUAAUCGAUGAAUGGUUUACGAUGGAAGAAUUGGAUGGGCUAUUAAUACUACAAGAAGAUGACAAAUGAAAUUCACCCCUUCCUGCAAAAAUCCAAUCAACCUAAGUGGCAUGUCAGAAAAUUAUGUAGUGAGACAUGGUUAUUUUCCAUGGGGGCACGGAGAAAACAGUAACCGCUAAGUAACGGUUUAUCAAGAUGCUCAUGUUGAAUUAAGAAACUUCGAGUACCCCAAUGUAAAAAUGUUGGGAAAAUUGGUUAAAAAUUGAGUCAUGAACAAUUUUUUAUCAAGGUUAUUGUACGGUCUAAUUGAGUAUAUAAAUGAAUUUUGGAUUAGAACCAAUUUUGUGGUGAAUGAAAAAAUUACUAGUCCAAAAUAUAAGGAAAGUGGGAUUUGAGUUAUCCCACAUUGGAAAAGUAGAGAAGUACUGAGCUGUAUAUAUAUCAAAAUAUUGGGAUGGGCCAAAAACAUUAGGUCAUGGGCUUUUAACCCAUUGGGCCCUUAUUACUCGAAGCCCAUCUCGAUUGGUCUGACUGGUCUGAAUUGGUGCGGCCGAACCAAUGCAAACCAUUCGGCUCAACUCGAAAUGGUGCAACCACUCCCAAUUGGCUCAACUCGAAAUGGUGCAACCAUUCAAACAAAAGGUACCUUUUUGCUCCAAAGGACACUACUUUUCGAACCUUAUAAAUAGACCAUAACUUUCCCAAAAUUCCUCACUUCAAUCCAAAAACAAGCCUACUACAUAUUAAGCCUACCCUUCACAGAUUCUCUCGAAAAGUUCUACACAAAGUACAGUUCGUCGUACUUGGGAUUUGGAGUGCUCCUAUUCCAAGUUUAGCCGUUGUAUCUUGGGAGACGAUUUCCAUUUAAUCCGUUAGCACCGUUGCGGAGAAAUUUCGUCUUAAGGACAGAGUCAACUCGCCUCGGCUAAUCUUUUCGUAUUUUCACUAAUUAAUUUGUUCAACCAAUUUACUAAAUUCACUACCCGUUUUAUGUAUCGGGAACAACAAUCUUAAGACGAAAUCUUUGUGAUUUAGUAAAUUGUGUUUUCUGCACACGUUGGUAAACGAGAUGGAGAAGAAGAUAGUCUGCCAAAAAUCAAGAAGUUACAAAAUACAAUUGGAGAAAGUUCAUUUUCGGACAGAACAUGAAGUCCACAUUCUUUCCCAUUUUCGAAGGUGUUAAAGUCCGAAUAUGGCAAAUUAACAUUUCACAAAAGUUGUAGAUAAUCAAGUUAGCUUUCCAGAACAUGUUAAAUAGUCACAAUCGGAGAUCGUACGAGGAAGUUAUGAUGAAAACACGAAAGGGUGGCAGAACUGCCAAUGCACCUUUUCAUAAGAAAUUACAACCGUUCGUGACCAAUGCAACUCGUCGCAUAUUAACGCAUCACCAAUGUCCAAUGCAUGAAAUUUUGAUAAAAGAAGACUGAAUCGAAGAUCAAUAAUGAGGUUUUAUAUUAUUUUUGAUUCAUGAAUAUUAUUUAAUAUUUUUUUUUUCUGCUUCCAUUGUAGGUGCAAAUUUACAGCACACCUAUUUCGACUUCGUGGCUUAUUUUGAUCAUGAUCCAAUCCCAAUCUCAGAAAACGUAGAACAUAAAAGUUGUAGAUAAUUUUGUUGGCUGUUCGGAUCAUAUUGAAUCAACAAAAUCGGACUUGGGACGGAAGAGAUAUGAAUAAAUCAUUCAGCACUGCCAUAAUAUUGACACGAUUUGGUGCUACCCGCAAAAUCUUGAAUUGACGAACAUAUAAUUUAUCGGGUACGUUUUUUAAGUAUAAGAUAUCUAUUUGUGAAAUAUAUUGAUAAUGCUAUAUGAUAUAAUGGUGGAUUGCAUGAUAGUUUAAUUUUCUAUGUGGAAGCAUGGUAAACCAUGUACAAUAUAUAUGCUUAAUGAAUAUUCAUGAUGUUUGUGUAUGUACAUCAAUAAUAGAAAUAUUUUUAUCCUAAAUAAAAUAAAGUGAUAGCGUAUGUGCUAAUUAUUUGAAUAAGUUUAUCAUAAACCGCAUGAUAAGUGCUAUACUAAUGACAUUUCUCAUGAAAAUGCAAUAUUUAUCUGCAUAAAUUGCUUAUAGUUUGAUAUGGGAUUAACUUUCUCCCAAUUUGAUGUGGAACUGUCCGGUUGAUUGAUUUUCGAAUAUGUGAGUACGUGAUCUUAUUAACGUUUUUAUUAUUGUCAUGAUCGAUUAGACUUGUCUCGUAUAUUAAGUAUGAAUUACUUACUAAGAGGAAUAUUAUUAUACAUAUUAUUAUUUGCGUAAGCCAUACUAAUUCCUUAGAAUUGUGUUAUUGCAUUGACAUGAAUUGAUUACGUGCUAUAGAAUUUUUAUCAAUUCAUUAUGUUGGACAUGAAUUUAUUUAUGCCAUGAAGUAUUAUUUUCAAAUUUGAUGCUUUUAUAUACUAGUGUGUAUACUAUGUAUAUGUUGAUAUAAUAUGCUUGAUAUAUUGUUUCUUUCUAUGAUCAACUAGUAUGAAAGACAGUGCAAAUCGGUCCUUAAUUUAGGGGGCAAACUGCUUUUUACUCUAUGUUUUAUAUAUGAAUCAUACUACGGUUUAAUUAAAAGCAUGAUUUGAAAUAAAAUAGAAAGAAAGAGAAGCUCAAUUCAUGAGAGCACAUGAGUAGUUCUUGUCUCAAGAACAUAAGAGAAGAUCGAAUUGUUGGUUCGAUUUGAUUUUUUGAUAUCACAUUUACAAGGUGAUGAUCUACAAUGUGAAUGGAUGAGAUCGGAUUUUGAUUUUCAAACAUCCGAAAUAAUUGUAAACAACAAUGAAUGCUUUGUUGAAAUAAAAUUCGAGCAGUUUACUUAAGAGCUCGUUUUGUAGAAUUAAAUCGUUGGAUUUGGCUGAAUUUUGAACGGCAUGUUUAGGACAUACAAUCCUAAAUUAUGAAUGAUUAAAAUUAGAAUUUAUAUAUUCUAACUUUAAUGUUGAAUAGUGGAGAUCAACCACCAUUUGAAGAGAUUAAUAUUCUCUUGUUUAUUGACAAGAUUUAAGUAUCUUGACGAGUUUUCUCUUUUGAGGAAAAAGAAGAAAUCUUAUUAUCUUAAUUGUUGACAAGAUUUAAGUAUCUUGAGAAGAUUUUUCUUGUUGUGCUUUCUUGAGAGAAAGAAAAACAAUACUUUGUAAUUAAAUCAUAUUGGUGAUCCAAAAUAUUUUUCUAACUAAAGAAGAAAUGUAUUUUGUUACAUUGUAUCCUUAUUAAUAAAAUAAAAAUAAGGAUUUCAAAGCAUUUAAAUGUUAUGUGAAUGAAAGUUGGAAAGUGCCAACUUUGACAAAUGAAUUAAAAAUGAGAACCAAAACUUCUGGAAAAAGUUUAUGGAUAUUAUAUUGAUAAAUACUAGAAUACAUACUCUAGAAUUUGUGGGGGAAAUUAGAUAUCCCGAGCUACCACGUUAAUAUUUAGAAAUGUGGGGGUCUUUAGGCCCUAACCACAUAAAUUAAAUAUUCCGACCUAACCACAUUAAUAUUCAGAAAUGUGGGGGUGUUUAGGCAAAGGAAAAAAAAUAUAUAAAAUAAAUACCUAACUUAAUAUACAAUGCCUAGUAUAGUUAAGUGAAUAAAGUACUUAAGCAUAUUCAUUGAAUAUGCAAAUAAUGAUUGUGCAUAAGAUAGUCAUUCUUGAUGCAAAUUACAUUAUAUUUUUCUUGUAAAAUAAGAAAAUAAAUAAGUUCUAAAUAAAAGAACUUAUAAAUGUGUAAGUGGUAAAUCAUCAAAGUGAUGAACAACCAAGUUAAUAUAUGUGUGAGUGGUAAAUCAUCAAAGUGAUGAACAACCAAGAUACAACAAGAUGGCAAAGAAAAUCAAUACGUUUGAUUUUAUUGACUUAUGAGUUAUAAAAUGAACGAUGGACAAUUAUUGAAAUAUUGUCUACAUUGGAAGAAUGUACGUGGAAGUUAGUUUGUCUUCUUCCAAGUAGUAAACCAUUAAGGUUUAGAUGGACUAUUCUAAAGAAGAAUUAAAAGGGUGGUCCAAUAAAGCUAAAUUAAAUAGCUUUGGAAAAUCUUGAUUAUUUAUAACAAGAUAUUGAAACUCGUUAAGUGAUUCUAAAGUAAUAUUUGAUAAAAUUGUGUUAUCAAGUAGUUCUCGUAAUAACGAGUGUGGCCAGUGUGUUUAUAUUAAAAGCACAUGGAAGUAUAUGUCCAUAGACGACAUUAUAAUCAUGAGAUAGUGAUCAUGAUACUAUUUUGAACGUUGAGAAAAUAUUGGAAAAGUAAAAAUAAAAUUUUGAUGUCAAAAGACGAGGGUCUAGAGGAUGUAAUCUUAUAGAUUAAAAUCACUAAGACAAAGAUAGUCUUAUUGAAAGUCUCAUGUUGAGACACUACUAGAAAAUCGAUCUAGUUAUCUAAAGACCAAGGGUUUACCUUGCCAAAAAUAAUGAUGAAGAAUGGUUCAAUUACAAAUAUUUUUGGAUAGUUUGGCAGCAUAAUGAAUUGCAAACUAGUAAAUAUGUAAUUCCAAAAUAAAUAAUCAUUCAAUGAUAUUAUAAGGGUUCUUAGGUAAUCUAAGUAUCGUCUUUAAAUGGAUUACAUUAAAGAAAAUAUCCAAUUGUAUUAGGAAGGAACAUUGGAUGUAUGAGUCCACUAAGAUUAUGUAUCUUGGAAAUCCUCAAACAAAAUUGAAUAGCUCGAUUCAUGGUCGAAUUCGAAUGUAUAACUUGAGAUAAGUUUAGAAAAGAAGUUGAAUAAACUUCAUAAAAUUAUUGGAGGAUGUUCCGUGUUGGACUAAGUCGGUGUCUACAAUUAUGAAUAAAUUGUGAUAACCAAUCGGUUACGUUAAGGGCACAAACGACAUGUAUAAUGGCAAGUAUCGAUACACUCGUACACAUAAGACCAUUAGGCAAUUGAUCUCAAAGGAAAUAAUAUAACAUUGAUUAUGAAAAUCAAUGGUUAAUAGCGGAUCCGCGACUAAAAGUCAACUAAAGAGAUCAAACAUAUUGCCUGUCUAGGGGAGUGAGAUUAAAACCCAUAAAUUAAGGACAAUCUUGGUGGUAACCCAACCAUGCUGACUGGAGAUCCCAAGAACUGGUUCAAAAGGGACAACUAAGCUAAGAAAGUUCAGUGAUGCACUAAGGAGUAUAUAUUCCUAUGGAAUAAUAUAUUUCCAACUCAUACCCGUGAUAGACAUUAGUGCUGCCUGCAGAGAGGGUAAAGGAUAAGCGAAAGCUUUUAAUGAUUCCAAAACCUUAUAAGAAAAGGUGAGGUAUUGGCAGGAUACCUUUAAUAGGAGAUCACCUAUGUAAGUGUAUGAAGUGAGGGCCGCUUCAAAAACUUGACAAACACUUAUGAAUCCAAGAUGUGUGUCCAUGGCCAAAACGGACACAAUCAUGAGAACUAAGGAAAUGUGAGGAUAGUAUUGUGUGGGUUGCAUUGUCUUGGUUUACACGAACGGCUGACAGUUCAAGACAUCGCGUUCACUACUCAGCCUAGUAAAUCCGAUGUAACUCCACUACGGAAGGUUCAAAGCUAUAUGCUACCUAUCCCGAUGCAAUACUAUUCGCGGGAGCUCUAGAGAGAAUCGACGCCCUCGUUUUCAUUCAUGUGGGGGAUUGUUGGGAAAAUUGGUUAAAAAUUGAGUCAUGAACAAUUUUUUAUCAAGGUUAUUGUACGGUCUAAUUGAGUAUAUAAAUGAAUUUUGGAUUAGAACCAAUUUUG